ACGUAACCGCUGAUUGUAAUACCGGCUCUUAGUAUAGGCCGGGAAAAACCUGGAAAAACGAAAUCAUGCAGUAGCUGUUCGGUUCUGAUAAACGGUGGCAGUCGGAUACUGACACCGAGUACCCCGCGGAGAUUAUUUUCCGAGAAAUAGGCACCGAAUAUUCCAAACAUUACUGUCAUUCCUAACUAAAUAUUAUAUUUUCACAGAAAUAGUAUUCAAGAUUAUGUGAUAUUAUUAGCAAAACGACAACUUACAAAAUAAUAAUAUUUUCCGGGAAGAUCAAAAAAAGAGGGGUUUGGAUGCGAUUGAAAAUGAUAUGAAGACAGCUGAAGUAUGCGAGGUGGGAGAUUAGGUCAAGUGAAAUCUUUUAUGUGACGGUAGCUGACGUCAAAUAUUUGGGAUGAAAGCGAAGG